CAGUUUGAAAUAAUUGAAAUUAAUAUCAUCUUGGAGAUUAUAGUAUGUUUAAGCAAACAUUUGUCAUUAAUCACAACAGUUGACAAGUCCACAACAACUGAAAACGUCGAUAAUCAAGCAAUAAUGUCAUGAUUCAUUGUUCUCCCAUUGUUCUAUUUUAGAACUGGGUAGAAAAAGCAGAAAAACAGAAACUAUUGUCAGACACCCUUGACCUCUCAGACCUGUUUCAUCCAGAAACCUUUCUCAAUGCCUUACGCCAGGAGACUGCAAGAGUAAUGAGCUGUUCUGUGGACAGCCUUAAAUUUACAGCUUCAUGGAAAGGGCGAAUACAGGAAGGCAAACUCCAAGUUAAGAUCAGUGGCUUGCAACUGGAAGGCUGCAGUUUUGAUGGAAAUCGACUUUCAGAAAAUCUACAUGAUUCUCCCAGUGUGUCAUCUGUAUUCCCUUGUUACAUGGCCUGGAUUCCACAGGAUGCAUGUGGUCCAUAUUCUCCAGAGGAAUGCAUAUCUUUACCAGUCUACACUAGUGUGGAGAGAGACCAUGUGGUGGCAAAUAUUGAUGUGCCAUGUGGAGGAAACCAAGACCAGUGGAUUCAAUGUGGAGCUGCUUUAUUUUUAAAAAAUCAGUAAACUACAACUGUAUUAAAUUAACUCUUUAAGUUAAGAAUCAUUUAAACAUGUCAAUUGUUUCUUAAUAAACAACUUUAGUCUCAUUACUUAUUAUAUAGUUUUAAAGAAAUUGUUUAUACAUUCCCAUUUUUUUAUUUUUUUAAAGUAUAUAAAAUUAAUUUUACUUAAAUUGGAACUUCAUUGUAUCUUUAUGAGAUGUUGUAAAAGUUAACAUGGCGCUAUUCAGAAAACUGUUAAUUUUGGCUUUUUCUCU